UACGUACUGUGCGAACGUUAUUCGGAAUCACUGGGCUUAAAGGGUGUGUAGGCGGCUGGACAAGCAGGGUGUGAAAGGCUUCGGCUCAACCGGGGCAUUGCGCUCUGGACUGUCCGGCUCGAGCAAGACAGGGGUGUGCGGAACUUCCAGUGGAGCGGUGAAAUGUGUUGAUAUUGGAAGGAACGCCGGUGGCGAAAGCGGCACACUGGGUCUUGUCUGACGCUGAGACACGAAAGCCAGGGGAGCGAACGGGAUUAGAAACCCCCGUAGUCC
rnacentral:rRNA from 1 species